GGGGUGCUCGAGUGGCGAACGGGUGAGUAACACGUGAGUAACCUGCCCUUGACUUUGGGAUAACUUCAGGAAACUGGGGCUAAUACCGGAUAGGAGCUCCUGCUGCAUGGUGGGGGUUGGAAAGUUUCGGCGGUUGGGGAUGGACUCGCGGCUUAUCAGCUUGUUGGUGGGGUAGUGGCUUACCAAGGCUUUGACGGGUAGCCGGCCUGAGAGGGUGACCGGCCACACUGGGACUGAGAUACGGCCCAG
rnacentral:rRNA from 1 species